AUUGAACGCUGGCGGCAGGCCUAACACAUGCAAGUCGAGCGGAGCGGCGGACGGGUGAGUAAUGCCUAGGAAUCUGCAUGGUAGUGGGGGAUAACGUACGGAAACGGGCGCUAAUACCGCAUACUAUCAAGUGAGCCUAGGGCGGAUUAGCUAGGUGGUGGUGUAAAGGCCUACCAAGGCGACGAUCCAGAACCGUUCUGAGAGGAUGAUCAGUCACACUGGAACUGAGACACGUGCCAGACGCCUACGGGAGGCAGCAGUGGGGAAUAUUGGACAAUGGGCGAAAGCCUGAUCCAGCCAUGCCGCGUGGGUGAAGAAGGUCUGCGGAUUGGAAAGCACUUUAAGUUGGGAGGCGGUACCAACAGAAGAAGCACCGGCUAACUUCGUGCCAGCAGCCGCGGUAAUUC
rnacentral:rRNA from 1 species